rnacentral:lncRNA from 1 species
GAGCUGUACAAAGAUGCUGAUGAGGGGCUGCAGCAUGCAAUUCACUUCACCAGCAGUCACUAAGAGUCUCGCUCUGUAGCCAGGCUGGAGUGCAGUGGCACAAUCUCGGCUCACUGCAACCUUCACCUCCUGGGUUCAAGAAAUUCACCUGCCUCAGCCUCCCGAAUAGUUGGGACUGCAGAGGAAAGGCCAUGUGAAGAUAAAGAAAAGGCUGCCAUCUCCAGGUCAGGAAGAGAGGUCUCACCAGAAACCAACUUGGACUUCUAGCAUCUAGAACUAUGUUUAUUGUAAGGAUUAAAUCAGCUAAACCAAGAAAAGCCUCAGGGAUGGUGCCUGGCAAACUGCACGCUGUUAAUACAUGUUAGUGGACCCUUCUCCACACCUUCCUGCUACACUAAAGCAGAGAGAAUUACCUCCUGAAUCAUGUUUGCAGAACUUCUGGGCACAGUGACUCAACUCCCAGCUAUUCUUGUCAUGGAUUUUUUCUCUUGGAGCCAAUCCAGCCAUGGAGAUCACUGGUCUUGUGACUUAUUUUUUCUCUUUCAGUAUGAAAUCAUUAGAACUGAGAAAAUGAAAACAUUCCUGUUAUUACUUCCUGAGAGAAAGAAACUUAGUAACAUGCUUUGGUAGGAAUUGUUCUUCUUUUUCCUGCUGUGUCCCUCUUGCUGGUCCCACCAGGGCUCUUGGUCCUGAGCCUGAUUUACACCAGGAGCAUAAUCUGAUCAAAAAGAGGGAAACUAAAGAAAAAAGGCAGGAUUGUAUGAGGGGUUCUCACAAUGGCAGUACAUAAUCCCUUAUACCUCGUAUUAUGUAGACCCCUGUGUUUCCAAGUUACCUUUGUAAUUUAGGUAAGUGAGCACGAAACACUUAAAAAAACACAAAUGAAAACAAGAGAAAGGAAAGAGUGGGGAGGGGUUUGUUUAUUUUUGAAAACAACGACAACAACAUAGAGUAAAAGUUACCAGGUAAGUUCAAAUAUAGUAGUACUUUGUUUUCUUGGAAGAUGAAUGAAAGAAGUCACCUUACUGCCUCCAAUCCAGUCAUAUCCCUGAACCCAAUCAUGACCAGCAGAGGUUGUUCUAAAUUGUUUCCUCCAAUAUAGAGAUAAUUGCCAAU